rnacentral:rRNA from 1 species
AGCAGCCGCGGUAAUUCCAGCUCCAAUAGCGUAUAUUAAAGUUGUUGCAGUUAAAAAGCUCGUAGUUGAAUUUCGGGAUCAAAUUGUCGGUCGUGCCUCGGUACGCACUGGUAUUAUUGGUUCCUACCUUCUGAAGAACCGCGAUGUCAUUAAUUUGGUGUCGUGGGGAAUCAGGACUGUUACUUUGAAAAAAUUAGAGUGUUUAAAGCAGGCUUACGCUUGAAUACAUUAGCAUGGAAUAAUGAAAUAGGACGUUUGAUUCUAUUUUGUUGGUUUCUAGGAUUGACGUAAUGAUUAAUAGGGAUAGUUGGGGGCAUUAGUAUUCAAUUGUCAGAGGUGAAAUUCUUGGAUUUAUUGAAGACUAACUACUGCGAAAGCAUUUGCCAAGGAUGUUUUCAUUAAUCAAGAACGAAAGUUAGGGGAUCGAAGACGAUCAGAUACCGUCGUAGUCUUAACCAUAAACUAUGCCGACUAGGGAUCGGGAUGAUGUUAAUUUUUAAU